CCAAAAUGAAGCCACUGUUUCUUUUAGUUUGUGUUCUCUUAGCUUCCUCUUUCUUUAUUCCCAUUUCCGCCAUGCCUAUCCAGGACCAGCCCUUGGGUAAGAUUCAGCAGCGAGUCUUUAUGUUUAUAUAUAGGACAUCCACAUAUAUAUAUAUAAUUAACAGUAUGCAUGGAUGGAUGGACAUAAUAUAUGAUUGUUGCAGGUGGUGAACGCAAAGGAAAUGAAUGUGGUCGUGGAAUCAAAUGCAUACCAAAGCCAACGCCACGGCCUACUAAGUGUAAAAGAAACAAUCCUUACUGCAGGCCUCCCUGAAUGUGGUAAAAAAUAAAGCUAUGGGCCUAUGGACGAUAUGGAUAUGGGUGAAGUUAUGCUAGUAAUAAAUUAACAAAUAAACAAAGUUUCCCCCCAUGCUUCAUGACCCAUGGCAAUUACCAAUGAAGUUCUUGUAAUGAUCAUAUCAUUACUUUCAUGACUACUAGUUUGUAUGUGUUAUGUUUAUGUUUAAUAAAUUAUGGAGUGUUUUUAUGUUGAAAAAUAUCAAGUACUACUUUGAUUGUGAUAGGUUUAUAUGUUUAUGUUUGAGGAAAUUAUUUCAAAAAUGAAAAUCACAUAAACCAUGAUUUGUACUCCGUUUCAAUUAUUGAUGUUGUAGAAACAAAUAACUUGGUCUGCAGUUGCUCAAAACAGUUUUGUUUUAUCUUCUGCCGGAACAAAAGUUGGAUAAAACUAGAAAGUUGGUGAGUCAAAGGGACAAGUAAAGGGAGAAUGAACACACAAUAUUUGAGUUCAACUAUUUGCUAAAGCCCAAUUUUUACAAACCACUCCUCCCAAAUACUUUACAUUACAUACAAUAUCUCUCUAUAAAAGUCUAAACAACACAUCCUUAAAAUAGCUAAAGAAUAAGUCAAUCAACAACCUAUUUACAGGCUCUCCUUCAACGUGAAUAUCGAUAGCUAGAAGAUGAGUCUUUAUUACAUGUUUAAAUGCUAAAAAUUAUCUUAGAAAAAUAUUCAAAUAAAUCUCUCUAUAAAACAACCUUCCAUCAACUUGAAAACUCUUAAAAGAUAAAGGAUAAGGAUACUUCUUUCUUUCAUCUCCAAGGCUGUCGGUUGAACGAGGAUAAUUGCUCCAUAUUCUAUCAUGAAAUUAUCUCCUCGUUUGCUGGUUUAAAUCAGAUGUAAUCAAGGCUCUUUAUUGUCAAGAAUCCCAACCUGAAUGAACUUUCACUGAAAUAUGCACAUACUCUAAAAUAUGUCUAAAUAUUUGAUGAGACAAGAAAAGGUUCUAAAAUUGGUUUGAAUGGUCAAAUGCUCUAACAUAAAGCUUAAAAAUUUACAACAAAAUGACAUCAAAAAAAUAACAUUGAAAUUUGAUUUAUAAUAUUAGAAGUUUUGAAGAAGUGGUAAUUAAAUUAAUUAUUAGAAGUGGGAGAAUGAUGCUGGAGAAUCUGUCAAAUUUGAAACUUUUAGUAAGCUAUAAGGCACCAAAACUCCUACUUUUGCGUCGUUUUUAUUGUUAAAAAUUACUCACAAUUCUUUUAGGUAGCGUUUGAGAGUUAAGGAUUUUAGAAUUUGGAUUUGAAUUUAAAAAAUAAUGCAAAUUGAGUACAUUUAUGUUUAUUUAAUCUAAGCUUUUGUUAGAAGCCUAUUUAUUAAUAAAUUUAAAAUCUUAAUUUUUUUUUGAAUUUGAUAAAUCCAUGCUUUUUUUUUAAUAUAUAUUAGAUUGAAUUUUGACUAAUCUAUCUAUAAUAUAUGCGUUUCAUUCUUACUAGAGUUGUUCACGGGUCGGGACAUAACAAAAUUUUAGGUCCAAUUACUAGGCCUUGAUCUGACCCAAAAAAUGGGCUUAGAUUUUUCCUAAGUUGACUCGGAUAAAAAUGUAAAACUUGGACCCAGUCUGUAUUAAUUUUUUAAUUUAAUUUUUAUAUAAAUAAAUUUAAAAAUAUAAUACACCAAAUACAUUAAAAAUAUUAAAAUAAAAGUUUCCUAAGAAAUUUAAAAAAAAUUAAAAAAAAAGUCUUUAUACUUAAGUAACACUAAGAUAAGAGCAACUUAACAAGCAAAUGUUUCUAAAAUAGUAGCAAAAUUAACAAUAAAACAAGUAUUAUACAAUAUCCAAAUAUUAACAACAAAAUAAUAACAUAAUAGUGAAAUGGUAGCAAAACAGUGGGAAAAUAGCAGCAAAAGCAGUAGGUUUUUUUAUUGAAAAUCGAGUUGGGUCGGGUCGGGCCAAAAAAUCUUAUUCGAGGCUCGACCCGUUUUUCAAAUGGACUUUUUUUUUGUCCAAGUCUAUUUUCUGAGCCUAUAUUUUUUUUCUAAGUCCUCUCAUUUUUCGAGCGGACCUGACCCAGCCCAUAUACAACUCUAAUUCUUACCAUUUAUAUAAUAAAUGAGAUCUAAAUCCAAAUUUUCAAAUUCUGAAUUUCCAAAAGGAGGAUAAAUAUUUUAUUUGGAAUACUCCUCAACCAUCAAAAGCCCUAAAGAAAAUUCUAUCUUACAAUAUUUUCUUUACUACUAAUUACUUCCAAAAAUUCUCUAAAUUUUUCCUUCCAAGUUUCUUCAAUGUUACAUCAAUAGCAAGAGGAAGGCAAAAAACAAAGUUCAAGUCUUUCAAACUCUUCUAAAAUAGCAUCUUCAAGAUCUCCUGUAUCGAAAAGGCAAUUAUAGGGAGCCUCAACAAGUAAUGUUCUUGAAGUUGUUGAAAACCCAAUUGAUCCUCCACUAAUUAAAAUUGAACCUACUACUUGUCUAAAGGUAUUUGUUGCUAUGAAUCCUCAAAAACCUCUAGUACAUGACUUUUUUAUUAUUAUCUGAUUUAUUGUUCUACUUCUAAAAAACCAUGAUUGAAGAUUGAAAUCUCUUGGACACAAAGCAACAACAACUAAAGCAGUAGAAGAAGCCUUUGAGCACGUGCACACACACAAAAAAGAAAAACAACUGAUUAAGGAAAGACUUAUUCCAUUUCUAAUGAUAAUGUCCCAUUAUCAGACUUUGUGUCUAAUUAAACUGCCACGUAUAUAUAUAUAAAUUGAAAAGAGUAGGUGCUACUAAGUUAUUAAAAGAAUGUAGAUUGUACUUCUGAACUAAAGAAGUCAAAGUUCCUAAAUGUUAUUUGUACAAAAAAGAAUGAAAAUAAUGGUUGAUACACAUAUUAUAUGUUUAAAGCAAAUUAAACUUUAUAUAAUUUUUAAAAAUCAUCUUGAAUUAAUAUGGACAAAGGGUUUUCUAGAUUUACAUUGUACAGGACAAAAAAAAAUUCAAAUUCAUUUUGGACUUCACUUUUAAUUUUUAAUUUCUUUUUAAUUUCAUUUAAUAUUUUUUUAUAAAUUUUAAUAAUAUUUUAUAUAUUUAUAAAAUUUUUAAAACAUUAAAACUUUAUAAAAAAAUUUAUAAUUUUUUUUUCUUAAAAUAAGCUUUGGAAUGAAUGAACAUAGACAAUUGUAUGUCCAAAGUUAUUCUAGUAAAAAAUUUAAGUAUUCCUUUUAAUUUUUUAUUUUAUGAAAAUUGUAUUUUGCUGACAUGGCACAAUCUAAAAAUUCCAUACGUCUAGCACUUAACACCAUUACAAAAAUGAUACUAAAAUGGAAUGAAAAUUCGACACUAACUUACGAAAAAAUCAUAAAUACCAAUUUAAGAGAAAGUGACAAAUUCAAGAACUAAAUGAGUAUUUAAACUUAUUUAUAUUUAAAUCAAUUUAGACAUGCAUUAAAUUUCUAAUUGUGUUUAAAUGAUAAGAAAUGAAAAAGAAGAUAUAAAAUUUUGAUCGAAAAAUAAACAUAAAAUAAAAAUCACUUACAAUUAUAAAUAAAACCAUUGAUAAAUGUAUUAUGUUAAAUUCCAGUAUAGAUGAAAUAACAGAAAUGAGGUUGAAGCAUCAUUGAGCUCUCAUACAUUGAAUCCUUGAUCACGACGCUUGUGCCUCACCCCAAGGCCUGACGCGCGUCUGUCGCCUUGCACCAAAAGAACAAAGGGCGUCUCUUCUCUCCCCUCCAUUGACUUUGCCGAUGUCUGCAAAAAAAAAAAGACAAAGAAAGAACACAGAAACAGCAAGACAAUAGCAGCAGAAACAGUAACAAAUUUGAAUAAUAAACAGUGUAAUAUGGCUAUAAAAGUCAUUACGUAUUAUUUUUUACAGGCAAUCGAAUAAAAAAAACAGAGAAAUAAAUAAAAGAGAAGAUUUCAAAAAAUAUAAAGGUAGUUAUAUAUAUAUAUAUAUAUAUAUAUAUAUAUAUAUGGUUUGAAAAGCUAUAAUAAAUACAUAAAAAAUAGAGAGAGAGGGGGAGGAUUCUCACUUGUCGUUCCACCUUUCGCCACCGUCGAGGACAACCUUCGGCACCUCAAAUGUCUCAUAACCCAUUAGGGUUUUGACUUCCGACGAAGGUCUGGAACGUGGCGCGACUGAAGCUUUUCCUUCGUGAUUCUUUUUCUUUUUUUUUAUUUCAAAAAAUAUUCGGUUGGAUCUGUUUUCUUUUAAUAACUUUUAGAAAGGGACUAAAAGUAAUUUUUUUUAUUUUCCGGCCACGAAGGAGGCACAGUGGAGGCUCGCCGGCAUCCGGGCCGAAGAUGGGGAGAACCGAGAGAGAAAGAGAGAACUCUCAGGUUUUUUUAAAAAAACAAAGACAUAAUGAUUUUUUUUAAAGAUUUUAGCUUUUAUAGGAGAUGUAAAACGACGUCAUCUAGGGCUGGUUUCAAUAGCACCAAAACGGCGCCGUGUUGGCCUUCGACCUGAUUGCCUGUUCCAAGACCUUAGGAUCCGCGUGUUUUUUGUGACUAGGGUAUAAUUGGACAUUAGUCCUUCCAAUUUUUAAGCAGUUUCCAAUGUGGUCCUGUUUCUUUUUUAAUUUAACCAUUUGAUUUUAUCUUAAUUUCAUUUUUGGUCCUUGGCCAUUUUAAGAGAGGGAUACCUGAAACAGAGUCGUUUCAGUUGACUCGAGACCCAACCUGAGAUCCGACCCGAUCCUUUAAUAGGAUCCGCGUGUUUUUAAAAAAGGGGCCUAUUUGCGCUUUCAACCUUCUGCCUUUUAAGUCAUUUUAAUUAGGUCCUAAUUUCACUAUUUUCUUUUUUAGAAAGUUUCCAUUUAAUUUUACACCGCUUUCAACUAAGUCCUCGAAUCGCUGAAGGUACGCGUGUCCUUAGGAUUGGGAUAAUUCCUCCAUUGGUCCUUGUUUGUUUUCACACUUUUCAUUUUAGUAUGUUAUUUAUUUAUUUAUUUUAUCUUAAUUCAUUCUUUUAAUUUAAUUUAAAUGACAAUUAGACCCUUUAUUUAUUUUAAUUCUUUUAAUUAUUUACUUGUUUGCUUAUUUAUUAUUCCUUCACUUUUGGUUUAUGUUUAAAAUUGUAUUUCUUAUUAUUUUCUUUUCAUCGAGCAUUUAUUUAUUUAUUCAUUUUAUUUUAUUAUUUAUUUAUUUAUUUACUUAUUAUUCCUUUGUAUACAUGCAUAAGAAUUGGAUUGUGCAUAUGCUUUUAUUGGUACAUUUUUGUUUAUUACUAUCAUUCAUUGUUUUAUUUUUAUUUUUAAGCAUGUUAUUGUUAUUUUAUUUCUCUCAUUAUUUUUUAGCAUUUUUAUGUCAUGUCCAUUUAUCUUUUUAAUCAUGCAUCGUCCAUUUUUUAUUUACCUUAAAAUACUUCAUUUAAUCAUUAUUACUAUAAUACGAUUAUUAAUAUUAAUAGUAUUGUUAUAAUUAUGUUAUUAUAAUAAUAUUCUUUUAUUUCACUUAUUAUUUAUUAUUCUAUCUACAUAGUUGUUUUAAAUUAUCUCAUUUUCACCAUAUCAUACAUUAAGGUUCAAACAUUUAUCCAUUUGUAUAUCAUGCCCGAAUAAAUUAAAAACACAUCACCUUAAGUGUUUGUUUUUUUACACGAUGCAUAAAAAAGGAAUUUUUUUUAAACCGAGGCAAAUGUUCAUUAUUUCGAAUUUAGAAAAGUUGUGUUCCUAACGUACAGAAUAUGACUUCCUUCUAAAACCGAGAUAGUUGAAUAUUUAUUUUAAAAUAAAUAAAAACGAGAUUUAAGUAAUGAUCAAUUGGUGUUUAUUCUCGUUUUCGAGGUUUUAAGGCAUUGUGUCCUAACACACGGGACGUGAUCCUUUUUCUCGAUUAACUUGAAAUAAGCCCUUCUUGAGAAAAUUACUUUGGUUAGAUAAUGCCUUAAUACAAAAAGGAUCGUGUUUUAAACUCUUUUCAAAUUUUCAAUUCACAACACUAAGACAUUAAUAAAUCAACUAGGUACCAAUUUUGGGUGUUACGAGGGUGCUAAUCCUUCCUCAUGCAUAACCGACUUCCGAACCCAUUUUUUGAAUCUUGUAGACAAAAAAUCGUUAUUUUAGUAAAUCAAACCAUUUAUUAAAACGAUCAAAUUACGAGGUGAUCCAAUCACACACACCUCAUAAAAAGGGAUCGGUGGAGACUCCCAUUUUCGUCUUUUUCUUAAAAUAAAAAAGGUCGAUCUCAAAAAAGGUUUCGACAAUCAUAUUAUCUCAUAAUUAGAAUCCACAAUAUUGAUUCAAGUUAAAAUGUCAAGUCACUAAACUUAUCAAAAAUUCAUAACCAUAAACAACCCUUUGUUCAAUUUCUCAUGUUCUCUCUCUCUCUCUCUCUCUCUCUCUCUCUCUCUCUCUCUCUCUCUCUCUCUUUCUCUCUCUAAACGAAGGAAAUGAAAUAUUUGUCUAGAGUGUUGCUAAAUUUUUUUACACGAAUAAGGAUGCCAACCUAAGCACCCCACGAAAAUAGAUGACAACCCAAACACCUAACUUCUAAGACCAGUGGAGUAAGUGAAUGGCUUAGAACGUCACUCAAUUUUUUUACACGAAAAUAGAUGACAACCCAAACACCUAACUUCUAAGACCAGUGGAGUAAGUGAAUGGCUUAGAACGUCACUCAAUUUUUUUACACGAAAAUAGAUGACAACCCAAACACCUAACUUCUGUUACUCAAUCGAUCACAGUUUUAAGAUUAUACUUUUAAUCUAAAUAGUUAGUUGGGUAUUUGUUGAUUUUUUUAUUUUUUUCUUUUAUUUUUCAAUUUUAUUAAAGUGCCUUUAUUUAAUGUUGUUGGCUCUACAAGGUCCAUCAUUCGUUCAAAUCAGAUUUCUAAUCCUAUUUCCUCUCACUCUUGAAGUUUCAUCAUUGGGCAUUCUCUUUUCCCUUUGUACUUGAGAGGCUUCAGUGCCUCCAUCUCAUUGACAACUUGUAACAAUAUGAUUUUAAGUGGUAUCAAAAAAUGUGGUUUCAAAAUUCUAUUUUUAUAAAUCGAGUCUGCAAAGAUGAAAUAUAAAAAUUAAUGAAAUUAGUAUAAAUAUAUAUUGAAGUUCAGUUAAGUAAUUUAAUCGAGAAAACUAUUAAUUAAAACUUAAGGAUUAAAUUGGAAAAGUUCAAUCGCUAUUGAGUUUUAAUUUAAAAAUACUUGAGGACCAAGAUAACAAUUAUUUAAAGGACAAAAAUGUUAAUAAACCAACUUUAAUCAUGAAAUAGUGGAGAAUGAUGAUUGCUUACACUUAAAUUAAUUUAUGAUUAAAAUGUGUAAGUUAAUCUCUUAAUUAACUAAAUCAAACAAGAUUAAUUAAACUAAAUUAACAUUAAUUAAAGUGUAUAUAUGUGUGUAUUUUAGCGGAAGGAAAAAUGAAAAAAACAUCCUCAUCAUCUUCCUCCACCGUCCACCAAAGUAAGUAAGAAAGAAAUGCUUCAAACCAUUCCAACAUUUGACUAUUAAUCAAGUAAGCUCCUUAAGCUAUUUUUAUUUUUAUUUUUAUGGAAUUUGAAUCAUGAGAGCUUGAUUCAAUUAGCCUGUGUAUCAAUUUAUUCAAUUUUUUAGUUUCUAGAAUUUUUCCAUUAAAAUGAAAUUGUACUUUCUAACAGACGAUUUUGAAUUCAAAUUCUGGGUUUGAAACAAGUGUUUUCGAACUUACAUUUUUCUAACAUUUGUGAGAGUUGUGUCAAAUAUUAUGCUUUUGAAACGCAUCCUAAGUGAGAUUAAGUCAAAAAAUUUUAAACAAAUUAAUAUAAUCGCUUAAAAUCUAACCAUAACAUCUAAGUCGGGUUUAAAAUGUUACAAUAAUAAUAUAAAAAUUACAUGUAAAAAUUAGCAUAUAUAUAUAUAUAUAUAUAAACAAUGACACCGUAAGUGAAAAUCUAUCUUUGAUCCUAACAAUUGUCGAAUCCACGUGAAACAUGGGAAAAAAGUAAGAUGAUGGUAGCAUAAAUGACAUCAAUGAAGUGAGGGCAUCCCUUUCUAAAUUUAUAAUCUUUGGUUGCUGUUUGGUGAAAGCAAAAUCUGCAGUUGACUUGGGGUCAACAUUAUAUAUUUUCCUUUAAAUUAGAUAAAUAGAUGUCAUGAAAGAGACAAUAGCAAUCAUUGCUUUCUUUUUCUUUUGUGGAAAAUUGGAUCCUAAAAGCAUAGUUAGUUUGUGCACUCAAUAUAAAGAAUUUAUUAAUUUAGAGUUUGAAAUGUUAUUAUAUAAAAAAUUUUGAUUCAAUGUAAAUAAUUAUUUAUUAAUUAAUUUUUUUAUUUACUAUAAAACAUAUUAUAUCAAUACUUUUAAUUUUUUUAAUAUUAAAAUUAAUUGUAACCUUGUACUCUCUCGGGUCAAAAACAAAUUAUCACAGAAAAAUUUUGAGUUCUUAUCUCAAAUUUAUUAGCUACACAAUUACCAUAUAACAAAAUUUACACAAACAUAAAAUAUUUUAAAUAUAAAUAUAAUAUGAUAAAAUAUACAUACAUAAAUUACAAAAUUAUAUAAAAUGGCAUAGCUUUAUUUAAUAGCAGUGCCCACAUGAAGUUACUGACAUGAUUUCAUCAGUAAUAUUCACUUUUACCUUUUUUUUAAAUAUUUUUUUCAUCCACAAAAGACUUGAAAUUGGGCUAUAAAUAGGAGUGGAGAGAGGAGACGAAGUAAACCNNNNNNNNNNNNNNNNNNNNNNNNNNNNNNNNNNNNNNNNNNNNNNNNNNNNNNNNNNNNNNNNNNNNNNNNNNNNNNNNNNNNNUGCCUAUCCAGAACCAAUCCUUGGGUAAGAUUCAGCAGUUAGUCUUUAUGUUUAUAUAUAGGACAUCCAUAUAUAUAUAUAUAUAAUUAACAAUAUGCAUGGGUGGACAUAAUAUAUGAUUGCUGCAGAUGGUAAACGCAAUGAAAUUGGAUGUGGUCGUAGAAUGAAAUGCACACCAAAGGCAGCGCCUCGUAAGUGUAAAAGUCCUUACAGCAAGUCAUGCAACCCGCCCUGAAUGUGGUAGAAAAUAAAGCUAUGGACCUAUGGAUGCUAUGUUAUUAUGUCUAUGCCUAUGGAUAUGGAUAUGGGUAAAGUUAUGCUAAUAAUAAAUUAACAAAUAAAUAAAGUUUCCCCCAUGCCUCAUGGCCCAUGGCAAUGACCACAUCAUCAUCAAUGAAGUUCUUGCAAUGAUCGUAUCAUUACUUUCAUGACUACUAGUUUGUAUGUGUUAUGUUUACUAAAUUAUGGAGUCUUUUUAUGUUGAAAAAUACUAAGUAAUUUUUUUUUUGGUGACAUGUUUAUGUUCAAUAAAUUAUUGUUGGUGAUGUUAAAGAAGAACAGAGAACAGGAAGCAAAAACGUG
rnacentral:lncRNA from 1 species